AUUGAACGCUGGUGGCAGGCUUAACACAUGCAAGUCGAACGGUAACAGGAAUUAGCUUGCUAAUUUGCUGACGAGUGGCGGACGGGUGAGUAAUGCUUGGGAAUCUGGCUUAUGGAGGGGGAUAACUACGGGAAACUGUAGCUAAUACCGCGUAAAAUCUUCGGAUUAAAGGGUGGGACUUUCGAGCCAGCUGCCAUAAGAUGAGCCCAAGUGGGAUUAGGUAGUUGGUUAGGUAAAGGCUGACCAAGCCGACGAUCUCUAGCUGGUCUGAGAGGAUGACCAGCCACACUGGAACUGAGACACGGUCCAGACUCCUACGGGAGGCAGCAGUGGGGAAUAUUGCACAAUGGGGGGAACCCUGAUGCAGCCAUGCCGCGUGAAUGAAGAAGGCCUUCGGGUUGUAAAGUUCUUUCGGUGACGAGGAAGGUUGAUAGGUUAAUAGCCUAUCAAAUUGACGUUAAUCACAGAAGAAGCACCGGCUAACUCCGUG
rnacentral:rRNA from 1 species